AGCGAACGCUGGCGGCAGGCCUAACACAUGCCAGUCGAACGAACUCUUCGGAGUUAGUGGCGGACGGGUGAGUAACACGUGGGAACGCGCCUUUAGGUUCGGAAUAACUCAGGGAAACUUGUGCUAAUACCGAAUGUGCCCUUCGGGGGAAAGAUUUAUCGCCUUUAGAGCGGCCCGCGUCUGAUUAGCUAGUUGGUGAGGUAAAGGCUCACCAAGGCGACGAUCAGUAGCUGGUCUGAGAGGAUGAUCAGCCACAUUGGGACUGAGACACGGCCCAAACUCCUACGGGAGGCAGCAGUGGGGAAUCUUGCGCAAUGGGCGAAAGCCUGACGCAGCCAUGCCGCGUGAAUGAUGAAGGUCUUAGGAUUGUAAAAUUCUUUCACCGGGGACGAUAAUGACGGUACCCGGAGAAGAAGCCCCGGCUAACUUCGUG
rnacentral:rRNA from 1 species